CCAAAUGUCCUAUGACACGCUUUGCGCCCGGUCCAGGCCGGGCCAGAGUUCAAACCUCCUGUGAACAAAACACAAUUCGCUUUGGCAGCGGGCGCGGUUGGGAGCACGCUCCCGCCGGGCCGUGAGUCUGCCAACGGCACCAAUUUGAAAACUUGCUCGUAAACAAAAGUCUGAAACCAUUCUGUUCGAAUGAAAAUCAA
rnacentral:misc_RNA from 1 species